CCUACGGGAGGCAGCAGUGGGGAAUAUUGGGCAAUGGGCGCAAGCCUGGCCCAGCAACGCCGCGUGAAGGAAGAAGGCUUUCGGGUUGUAAACUUCUUUUCUCAGGGACGAAGCAAGUGACGGUACCUGAGGAAUAAGCCACGGCUAACUACGUGCCAGCAGCCGCGGUAAUACGUAGGUGGCAAGCGUUAUCCGGAUUUACUGGGUGUAAAGGGCGUGUAGGCGGGACUGCAAGUCAGAUGUGAAAACCAUGGGCUCAACCUAUGGCCUGCAUUUGAAACUGUAGUUCUUGAGUACUGGGGAGGCAGAAGGAAUUCCUGGUGUAGCGGUGAAAUGCGUAGAUAUUAGGAGGAACACCAGUGGCGAAGGCGGUUUGCUGGACAGCAACUGACGCUGAGGCGCGAAAGCGUGGGGAGCAAACAGGAUUAGAUACCCUGGUAGUC
rnacentral:rRNA from 1 species